rnacentral:lncRNA from 1 species
AAAAAAAAAAGAAGCCCUUUUUUUUUUCUUCUCUCUUCUUCUUCAACCGCACGCCGGCCGGCCGUCGGUACCGCCGUCGUUCGCCGUCGCCGGUCGUCGUCUCCGAUGGUCGGAAAAACCCCAAAAUUCUCCCACGAACUCUUCUCGACCCCCUGAGCACAGAUCUGACCUCCUUUUCACCGAAAACGGCCUUGAUUCGCGUAGAUCGGGUUUUGAAGUUUUCGGUUUUUCUUCUCUCUUUUUUUUUCGGUGAAACUGAUGAUUUCUUGGCUUUUGCAGGUGGCUCGGCGCUGAGGUUCCUCGCCUACGGCGAGGACUGUGUUAUUUUUUUGGUUUUUGUUUUCGUUUCUGUAGAUUUUUUUUUUUUUUUUGGCCGUUCUUUUUUGGUCCGCCCCCUCUUUUCCCUCUGGUUUGCAAGCUCUAUUUAUAGAGCUUGUUUGAGAUUCAAAUUUCAGAUUUUCUGGGAUUCGAAAAUCAUACCUACCGUCCGUGAUUGGUGGCUUGUCAGAAGGCCGGUUGGGUAGUUGGUCGGACCAGUUCGGCGCCGUAC